GAUGAAGAACGUAGCGAAAUGCGAUAAGUAAUGUGAAUUGCAGAAUUCAGUGAAUCAUCGAAUCUUUGAACGCACAUUGCGCCCGCCAGUAUUCUGGCGGGCAUGCCUGUUCGAGCGUCAUUUCAACCAUCAAGCCCCCGGCUUGUGUUGGGGACCUGCGGCUGCCGCAGGCCCUGAAAAGCAGUGGCGGGCUCGCUGUCACACCGAGCGUAGUAGCAUACAUCUCGCUCUGGGCGUGCUGUGGGUUCCGGCCGUAAAACCACCUUCAUAACCCAAGGUUGACCUCGGAUCAGGUAGGAAGACCCGCUGAACUUAAGCAUAUCAAUAAGCGGAGGA
rnacentral:misc_RNA from 1 species